AUUGAACGCUGGCGGCAUGCUUUACACAUGCAAGUCGAACGGCAGCACGGGGGCAACCCUGGUGGCGAGUGGCGAACGGGUGAGUAAUAUAUCGGAACGUACCCGGAAAUGGGGGAUAACGUAGCGAAAGUUACGCUAAUACCGCAUAUGCCCUAAGGGGGAAAGCGGGGGAUUCGCAAGAACCUCGCGUUUUCGGAGCGGCCGAUAUCGGAUUAGCUAGUAGGUGAGGUAAAAGGCUCACCUAGGCGACGAUCCGUAGCUGGUCUGAGAGGACGACCAGCCACACUGGAACUGAGACACGGUCCAGACUCCUA
rnacentral:rRNA from 1 species